UACGUAGGGCGCAAGCGUUAUCCGGAAUUAUUGGCGGUAAGAAGCUACGUAGGCGGUUUGUCGCGUCUGCCGUGAAAGUCCGGGGCUCAACUCCGGAUCUGCGGUGGGUACGGGCAGACUAGAGUGUGGUAGGGGAGACUGGAAUUCCUGGUGUAGCGGUGAAAUGCGCAGACAUCAGGAGGAACACCGAUGGCGAAGGCAGGUCUCUGGGCCACUACUGACGCUGAGAAGCGAAAGCAUGGGGAGCGAACAGG
rnacentral:rRNA from 1 species